AUUGAACGCUGGCGGCGUGCCUAACACAUGCAAGUCGAGCGGCAGCGCGGGAGCAAUCCUGGCGGCGAGCGGCGGACGGGUGAGUAACGCUUGGGAAUCUGCCUGUUAGUGGGGGACAACCCGGGGAAACUCGGGCUAAUACCGCAUACGCACUACGGUGGAAAGCCGGGGACCGCAAGGCCUGGCGCUAACAGAUGAGCCCAAGUCGGAUUAGCUAGUUGGUAGGGUAACGGCCUACCAAGGCGACGAUCCGUAACUGGUCUGAGAGGACGACCAGUCACACCGGAACUGAGACACGGUCCGGACUCCUACGGGAGGCAGCAGUGGGGAAUAUUGGACAAUGGGGGAAACCCUGAUCCAGCGACGCCGCGUGGGUGAAGAAGGCCUGCGGGUUGUAAAGCCCUUUCAGUGGGGAAGAAAGCCUCGACCUAAUACGUUGGGUCUUGACGUAACCCAUAGAAGAAGCACCGGCUAACUCUGUGCCAG
rnacentral:rRNA from 1 species